UAUUUUUGACUGACAGUUUCUCAUGUGUACUCAAUAUUCAAGUUGUAAAGUAGCCCUGUGAUUUUUCUCCUCUCCAAAAAUCCCUUCAAACAGCUACAAAAUACUCUAAUGCUGUUAUCUAGCACCAAAAGUAUGCACCUUAAUUCUAAAAGUAGGAUCACUAGACAGCUAAUGUCUUUACAACUUUGAACUGCCAUGCAUUCUUCCAAAACCACAGUCAUCUCCAACUUAAAAUAUCCAAAUUGCAC
rnacentral:lncRNA from 1 species